rnacentral:rRNA from 1 species
AGAGUUUGAUCCUGGCUCCGAUUGAACGCUGGCGGAAUGCUUUACACAUGCAAGUCGAACGGCAGCACGGGAGCUUGCUCCUGGUGGCGAGUGGCGAACGGGUGAGUAACAUAUCGGAACGUAUCCAAUAAUGGGGGAUAACUAAUCGAAAGGUUGGCUAAUACCGCAUACGCCCUACGGGGGAAAGCAGGGGAUCGUAAGACCUUGCGUUAAUGGAGCGGCCGAUAUCUGAUUAGCUAGUUGGUGGGGUAAAGGCCCACCAAGGCGACGAUCAGUAGCUGGUCUGAGAGGACGACCAGCCACACUGGAACUGAGACACGGUCCAGACUCCUACGGGAGGCAGCAGUGGGGAAUUUUGGACAAUGGGCGCAAGCCUGAUCCAGCCAUUCCGCGUGAGUGAAGAAGGCCUUCGGGUUGUAAAGCUCUUUCGCAAGGGAAGAAAACUUAUCUUCGAAUAAAGGAUGAGGCUGACGGUACCUUGAUAAGAAGCACCGGCUAACUACGUGCCA